rnacentral:tRNA from 4 species
GGCGAUGUAGCUCAGCUGGCUAGAGCGAUCGGUUCAUACCCGAUAGGUCGGGGGUUCGAUCCCCUCCGUCGCUACCA